AUUGAACGCUGGCGGCAUGCCUUACACAUGCAAGUCGAACGGCAGCAUGGAGAGCUUGCUCUCUGAUGGCGAGUGGCGAACGGGUGAGUAAUGCAUCGGAACGUACCGUGUAAUGGGGGAUAACGUAGUGAAAGUUACGCUAAUACCGCAUACGACCUGAGGGUGAAAGCAGGGGAUCGCAAGACCUUGCGUUAUACGAACGGCCGAUGUCAGAUUAGCUAGUUGGGGAGGUAAAGGCUCACCAAGACGACGAUCUGUAGCGGGUCUGAGAGGAUGAUCCGCAACACUGGGAAUGAGACACGGCACAGACUCCUACGGGAGGCAGCAGUGGGGAAUUUUGGAAAAUGGGGGAAACCCUGAUCCAGCCAUGCCGCGUGAGUGAAGAAGGCCUUCGGGUUGUAAAGCUCUUUCGGCCGGGAAGAAAUCGCACAGGCUAAUACUCUGUGUGGAUGACGGUACCGGCAUAAGAAGCACCGGCUAACUACGUGCCAGCAGCCGCCGUAA
rnacentral:rRNA from 1 species